rnacentral:precursor_RNA from 1 species
ACACUUGCUGGAGAAGCAGGGCACGUGCGAACAAAUGAGUUUGAUCAGUACAUUUUGAUCAAAUAUUCGCACGUGUUCUACUACUCCAACACGUGU